GUAGAUGCUCAUUCCACCUUCUAUGCUUGCUUCGGCUUCAUAAACCUGGGAAUGACGCAGAGCCAUUUACGGUGCCUAACGUCCGAUUAUUGAUGAAGCUUGCUUCAUCGCUGUUGGACGUAACGUUGAGUGGGGCACCUUAAAGUUGUCUUUCAGACCUGAUUUUUAUUGCACGCUUGCCGCUGGUCGGUAAGCGUUUUUUU
rfam:Dickeya dadantii 3937, complete genome.